GCCUCAGUGAGAUAUAUAUAUAAAAGAUAAUGAGUGAUCUGAGAGAACCUAUGAGGAUCAAAAGGUAUGCUAACUUUCUUUCAAAAAUAUACAAAAACUCCAAGUGACAGGAUUGAGAAGAAAGGAUCUUUACUCUUAAUCAUAUACUUCCCUGACUAUGGUACACAGUGGAAUUUUUAACACCCUGCAAUUGUAAAGAGAAUGCUUUAAAAUGUUUUACCCCAGAUAUUUUUCUUAACCAUCCUUUUCUCGAGGACGAGUAAAAGCCUAAGUAUGGGGGUAUUUGUUGACGGUUCUUAAGUAUCAAUUUUAAUUAUCAAAUAAACAAGAGAAAGGACCAAUAUGCAACCAUCACCUAGAAUUAGGGUUUGAUCUGACAGAAUUCCACGAGUUUUGUUGCUUAUCUGUUUCUGCAGGGGGUUAUCAGGAAAUAAGGAAGAAAGGCCCACAUGUCGGGAUUACAUAGAGAUAUCAACGCACCGCGCAAUUUUACAUCAUCUAGAAAACUCCAGAAGCCACGAGACCGAAGCGGAGGCGAAGCUGGGCCAGGCCCAGGGCGCCCGCCCUGGUAGCCUGGGCGCCCGCCCCCCUUCUGGAGCCAAUUCAGGACUCCUUCGCUCGGGAUAUUCCACCGACCUAUUGGAUC
rnacentral:lncRNA from 1 species